AAGAGUGGAGGAGUGCAGCACAAAGAAGCAGUGUGAUCGCUGAGAACAGACAAAAGAGGAGGCAGGAUGAGAAGCGGUACGGUGGUUUUGGCACUAAUGAUGGUGCUGGCUGUUGUCUUCUUUGCCAACAACUCCUUCGCCCAAGAUGAGGUUAAUUACCAGGCACCAAGCGAAGACGAUGCUGUUGGUACUCGAUGGCCGUGCUGCAACAAUUGCGGUCCAUGCACCAGAUCUAUACCGCCACGAUGCCAAUGCCUCGAUGUAGUGAAGGCCUGCCAUCCAAAGUGCAAAAAUUGCGUGCGGUUGCCCUUCCCGAUCAUCCCGCCGAUCUUCCAGCCACGGUACCAGUGCAGGGACUGGAUCCUCAACUUUUGCAAGCGCAAGUGCGACCCCAAGCCACUCAACGACGAGUAGCAGCACUGCCGAGUCGCCAACCGUUGCGCGCAUCCCCGCAUCUCUAUUUCUAUCUACGUAAAUAAACUUGUUGCCGUGAGUUGGGUUAUAAUUCAGCCAGUGUGGUGUGCUUCCUGUACUUUAAGAUGUGUGCUGUACCAUGUUUUCGAUCUAUUAAAUAAUGAUCAGCUCUCGGGGCUGUAAUUUGGAAUUUGUUGGAA